rnacentral:rRNA from 1 species
UGGAUAACCUGCCUCAAGGCUGGGGAUAACAUUUGGAAACAGAUGCUAAUACCGAAUAAAACUUAGUAUCGCAUGAUAUCAAGUUAAAAGGCGCUACGGCGUCACCUAGAGAUGGAUCCGCGGUGCAUUAGUUAGUUGGUGGGGUAAAGGCUUACCAAGACGAUGAUGCAUAGCCGAGUUGAGAGACUGAUCGGCCACAUUGGGACUGAGACACGGCCCAAACUCCUACGGGAGGCUGCAGUAGGGAAUCUUCCACAAUGGGCGCAAGCCUGAUGGAGCAACGCCGCGUGUGUGAUGAAGGCUUUCGGGUCGUAAAGCACUGUUGUAUGGGAAGAAAUGCUAAAAUAGGGAAUGAUUUUAGUUUGACGGUACCAUACCAGAAAGGGACGGCUAAAUACGUGCCAGCAGCCGCGGUAAUACGUAUGUCCCGAGCGUUAUCCGGAUUUAUUGGGCGUAAAGCGAGCGCAGACGGUUGAUUAAGUCUGAUGUGAAAGCCCGGAGCUCAACUCCGGAAUGGCAUUGGAAACUGGUUAACUUGAGUGUUGUAGAGGUAAGUGGAACUCCAUGUGUAGCGGUGGAAUGCGUAGAUAUAUGGAAGAACACCAGUGGCGAAGGCGGCUUACUGGACAACAACUGACGUUGAGGCUCGAAAGUGUGGGUAGCAAACAGGAUUAGAUACCCUGGUAGUCCACACCGUAAACGAUGAAUACUAGGUGUUAGGAGGUUUCCGCCUCUUAGUGCCGAAGCUAACGCAUUAAGUAUUCCGCCUGGGGAGUACGACCGCAAGGUUGAAACUCAAAGGAAUUGACGGGGACCCGCACAAGCGGUGGAGCAUGUGGUUUAAUUCGAAGCAACGCGAAGAACCUUACCAGGUCUUGACAUCCUUUGAAGCUUUUAGAGAUAGAAGUGUUCUCUUCGGAGACAAAGUGACAGGUGGUGCAUGGUCGUCGUCAGCUCGUGUCGUGAGAUGUUGGGUUAAGUCCCGCAACGAGCGCAACCCUUAUUGUUAGUUGCCAGCAUUCAGUUGGGCACUCUAGCGAGACUGCCGGUGACAAACCGGAGGAAGGCGGGGACGACGUCAGAUCAUCAUGCCCCUUAUGACCUGGGCUACACACGUGCUACAAUGGCGUAUACAACGAGUUGCCAACCUGCGAAGGUGAGCUAAUCUCUUAAAGUACGUCUCAGUUCGGACUGCAGUCUGCAACUCGACUGCACGAAGUCGGAAUCGCUAGUAAUCGCGGAUCAGCACGCCGCGGUGAAUACGUUCCCGGGUCUUGUACACACCGCCCGUCACACCAUGGGAGUUUGUAAUGCCCAA